rnacentral:rRNA from 1 species
AUUGAACGCUGGCGGCAGGCCUAACACAUGCAAGUCGAGCGGAGCGGCGGACGGGUGAGUAAUGCAUAGGAAUCUGCCUGGUAGUGGGGGAUAAGGUCCGGUAACGGGCGCUGAUACCGCCACCUAUCAGAUGAGCCUAGGUCGGAGUGGCUAGUUGGUGGGGUAAAGGCCUACAAUGGCGACGAUCCGUAACUGGUGUGAGAGGAUGAUCAGUCACACUGUAACUGAGACACGGUCCAGACUCCUACGGAAGGCAGCAGUGGGGAAUAUUGGACAAUGGGCUAAAGCCUGAUCCAGACAUGCCGCGUGUGUGAAGAAGGUCUUCGGAUUGUAAAGUACUUUAAGUUGGGAGGCGUUACCAACAGAAUAAGCACCGGCUAACUUCGUGCCAGCAGCCGCGGUAAUUC